ensembl:lncRNA
AAUAAGAUAAUCAAAAUUGCAUUAAAAUUGAUUACAUAAGAUUACAAGUAAAUUUUUAAUAAUCAUGUUUUCACAUUUUUUUUUUUUUUUUGGUAUUUGGUAUAUUUCCUUAUCCCUCCCUCCCUCCUAAAAAAAAAAAAAAAAAAAAAAAAAAAAAAAAAAAACAUGUACAGCCCACAAAGGUUGAUUGGUUCAGAACCUUUAUAAAUCACCAAGAUGCCCAGGUGAUCUUAAAAAAAAAAAGAAAGAAAUUAUUAUUUGAAGCUACUACAAAGUAUAUUUUGGUGUGGGAACAACUAGAACCACCUCCAGACUGCAUACAACACUUUAAGGCAAACACAUCUCUCUUUGUGAAAUCUCUUUCUGGCGGUUCGAGUGCCAGAGCGGACUCAGUGGAACAGUAA